GACCCCGUAACUCAAAUGGCUAGAGCGUUGGCUGUGUACUAAAGCCUUCCCCUUGCUGGCGUGGGUUCGAAUCCCACCGAGGCCG
rnacentral:tRNA from 1 species